rnacentral:rRNA from 1 species
UACGUAGGGUGCAAGCGUUAAUCGGAAUUACUGGGCGUAAAGCGUGCGCAGGCGGCUUUGCAAGACAGAUGUGAAAUCCCCGGGCUUAACCUGGGAACUGCAUUUGUGACUGCAUGGCUAGAGUGCGGCAGAGGGGGAUGGAAUUCCGAGUGUAGAGGUGAAAUGCUUAGAUAUCGUAAGGAAGACCAGUGGCGAAGGCGAAUCUCUGGACAGUUACUGACACUGAGGCACGAAGGCCAGGGGAGCAAACGGG